UGCGGCAGGAUCCCCUCCUUUCUA
rnacentral:rRNA from 1 species